AUUGAACACUGGCGGCAGGCCUAACACAUGCAAGUCGAGCGGAUGAAGGGAGCUUGCUCCUGGAUUCAGCGGCGGACGGGUGAGUAAUGCCUAGGAAUCUGCCUGGUAGUGGGGGAUAACGUCCGGAAACGGGCGCUAAUACCGCAUCCGUCCUGAGGGAGAAAGUGGGGGAUCUUCGGACCUCACGCUAUCAGAUGAGCCUAGGUCGGAUUAGCUAGUUGGUGGGGUAAAGGCCUACCAAGGCGACGAUCCGUAACUGGUCUGAGAGGAUGAUCAGUCACACUGGAACUGAGACACGGUCCAGACUCCUACGGGAGGCAGCAGUGGGGAAUAUUGGACAAUGGGCGAAAGCCUGAUCCAGCCAUGCCGCGUGUGUGAAGAAGGUCUUCGGAUUGUAAAGCACUUUAAGUUGGGAGGAAGGGCAGUAAGUUAAUACCUUGCUGUUUUGACGUUACCAACAGAAUAAGCACCGGCUAACUUCGUG
rnacentral:rRNA from 1 species